CUCCAGUGAUGACGCUAGUAAUGGUUUCGCUGUAUUCUGAAAUAGAAAUGAAGCGAUUUCCUCUUGGCUGUCUGAGCUC